rnacentral:misc_RNA from 1 species
UCCGUUUCUAAUGAUAUUCGUUAAUUAAAAUUUUUGCAACAAGUACAGGCAAUCACAAAUUUACAACAGGCUGGAUGGCAUAGAACAAAGGAUUAGGCUCAAGGCUAAGUGCGAACUAGUAAAUGAUUCGAUUUUAAAGAUGCUGCAAAAACAACGAAAGGCCCCGGCCAUCUAAUUUUUGUGAACCUAUAAGAACGCUGGUCCAUGGAGAUGAAAACAGCGAGAGCCGGCGCACCAGAAAUGCACAGUAGGCCGAAAAUUUGUACCCACUUGGGUUCGAAGCCGACUUUAGAAAACAAUGAUAAAAUGACAGAUUCACUUUAAAGGGAAGUCUGAUCCAACAAUAUUUGCUGAUUGCGGUCUCAUGUAGAUGAAGAAUUGGAUGGCUGUGUCACCUUGAAAGACUUCCAAUACUUUCAACUAUGAUUGUCAUUGGUGGAAAGGCUCCAAGACGGGAAAUCAACAAACAUUCAGCGCAUAUUUCCCUCUAAUAUUUUCAUUGAUGAUAACUACAAAAAGAAGCAAUGACAAUGCAGGAUUAAUUUUGCCAAUAAUUAGCUGGGACACUUAUGGCAACAUGCUUGGUAACCAGCUGCCAAGCAUGCCUUGUUAGCUGUUACCACCUAAUCUCAGACCAAUGGCUGCAAAUUGCAGACCUUUGAUACCCUUAUACAGGCAUGACAAAAAACAGCAAGCUUUUAAUUGGAAAAAAAAAAUCAGAAUCAACAUAAAAAUUCCCCUUUCAGCAUAGCAAUUUCACAGAGAUGAUCCAUGAAUUGAAACUGAUGAUUGUUCCCAUCUUUUCUAGCAACCUUGCACUAUGUCCCCACUCAAAAGAGCUCAGAAGCAUUUGAACAUUUUUUUUCACAAGCGACAGCAUAAAGCAAAUGAGCUUAGGCCUUUGCCUUAAAACACUAGGUUCCUGCCAUGAGUCACUUUCUACCUUCAUAGCCCCUACAUUUGCCAGUAAUCAAUUAAUAGCCAGGGUAGGUGAGGAAUCGCUUUGUGUUCGUGUAGAGAAUAUCAUAGUGACCUGGCCGAUAAAGCAAAGUAAUGAAGGGAAUCUUGGUCGCUGAACUACCACUAGUAGAAUUCUGUAGAUCAUCAGCAGCAGGAAUGAAAUCGUGAUGAUUUACACUAACACCACCUGUAUCACAAGAACUGCGGUCAAGGUAUACAACACGAAUUGGCACACCCAAGGCAUCUGAUAGGGCAGUAAUGUGCACAUGGUCACUCUCUUCACCCAUAGGUUCCACUGAUGACUUGCAAAACUAUGCCAAACCAGAUUGUAACAUUACAGAGAGAGAGGAGAGAGACUGCAAGCUUACAUAAAUGUAAUGCCAAUAGCCAAACUUCCAGACACACAUGAAACUGAAUUUCAACAAUGAUAAUCUUUUAGUCCAGCCAAGGCAUUCUAGUAAUUAAACAAGUACUAGGGGUGUUUGAAAUGGUCAUCUUUGAAAGAAUUGACACGAGGACCAAAAUAUAGAGAAGUGUAGAUUGAAAGUACAUAGUUGCUGCGCAAAAGUUUAUAAUCAUCCUAAUUUUUCGUCAAAGACUAGAGUCCACAAUGGCAAGAAGCAGAUAAAGGAAAAUGUUCAAAAAUAACUAGUUCUAGUAUUGAACAAACCUGUUCCACUGUUGCAUUUGUUAACCCCAAUAUAAAGGGUUCAAAAAACUCAGAGCGUUUCCGUAUUUCCCCAGAAGUAACAAAUCUGAAAAACAUGACAACUAACCAACCAAAUUUGUUAGCAGUUAUUUUAUUUGAAAGGAGGAGCGAUCCAUUCCUACCAUCAAGUCUUUAAAGUUGCUCACCAUAGUCUGAUAUUGACUGGUCUCGACUUCUGUUUAUGAGCUCAUUGUGACUGUAAAUGAAAAAUAAAUAUAAAUAUAAAUAUAAAAGAGGGGUUUAUUCCACAUAUUCAGAAAAGAAAAUCAUUUGAUUAGCAUUAAUGCAGAAAUUUUUUAUUGUGGAUAUCAUGCCCUAUGUAAGUUCAUAGUUACAAACAAAAAUGCUUGAGAUGAAGUUUGAAGAAUGAAACUUAAGAUCCCAAAGUAAAUGCACCAUCGGAAUUGUUAACAGAAAUACCAGAUCCAAGGAAAAGAGGACAAUAACUUAUUGAAGAUUCAUGACCUUGAAGAACGCAGUCCAACUGCUCCAGGAAUAGCUGCAAAUUUAUCACCACAUUCAGUGUUUAAUUAUAUAUAUAUUAUUAAGGCCUUUGAUUCUUUAAUACAUAUUAUUUUGAAAAGGACUAGAGGAAUUAGAAGUUCCAAUCUCAAUGAUAAAGCACUAAGUUGAUUAGAAUAGAGAACUUUACUAGUUUGCUCAUUUCAAAUUGAAGUUUAAAAGAUUGACAUUGAGUAAGCACAAUUCAACUGAGUUCUGCAAUUUUUCAUUGCAGAAAAUUUUGUCAUUCCUUCUCUUUGUUCCCCAGUGCUAAUCAGAUAUAACCCUUUGCAUCAGUGUCACCAUUUAAAUCCAUGUAAAAAUAAAGUUCAAGUAAAAUACACAAGUCCAAUUAUUAUUCCCUUGGAGAAUCAUACUCAACAGGUCAGCAAUGACGCUACUACUCUCGUCCAUCAAAUUAACAGAACUUGAAACCUCCCAGGGCUAUCCUAAAUAAUCAGCUAUGACAUUAUCCUAAAUAAUAAUAAUAAUAUAUCACGUUAAGGGUAAUGGUCAAGCAUAUCAAACACAACAGAAUAACGAAAGAGUGUUCAUAAUUAACAAACUAACAAAAAAGCAUGAAACUGUUGUACAAAGAAGCACAGUUAUUAAAGGCACACCUCAGGAUCAAGGCUCGCCAAGCUCCAACCCUAGCGCCUCUACAUGAGAAAG